CGCUGGCGGCGUGCUUAACACAUGCAAGUGGUGCGACGAACCAGGGCUUGCCCUGGGGCCAAGCCGCGAACGGGUGAGUAACACGUGAGUAACCUGCCCCGAUGACCGGGACAACCCGAGGAAACUCGGGCUAAUACCGGAUGUGGCGCACAGGCGUAAGCCUGUUCGCUAAAGGAAGCUUCGGCCUCCGCAUUGGGAGGGGCUCGCGGCCCAUUAGCUUGUUGGUGGGGUUAUGGCCUACCAAGGCGACGAUGGGUAGCUGGUCUGAGAGGACGAUCAGCCACACUGGGACUGAGACACGGCCCAGACUCCUACGGGAGGCAGCAGUGGGGAAUCUUGCGCAAUGCGCGAAAGCGUGACGCAGCAACGCCGCGUGGGGGAAGACGGCCUUCGGGUUGUAAACCCCUUUCAGGAGGGACGAAGGUUCGGCGGUGAAUAGCCGUCCGGACUGACGGUACCUCCAGAAGAAGCCCCGGCUAACUACGUGCCAGCAGCCGCGGUAAUACGUA
rnacentral:rRNA from 1 species